rnacentral:lncRNA from 1 species
ACCUUUUCAAUUUUUCAUUUCCUUAUCCCUCUCAUCUGUACUCUGGACGACUGGACCCUUUCCUUCCCACUCCCAGCUCCGCCGCUCUUCGUCUUCUUCCUUCCCACUCCCAGCGACCCGUCUCACAUCUCGUCGAUUUGCAAGUGUCGCUGACUCGCCGUCUCACUCUCAGUCUCUCACCCCCGUGACCCGUGACUUCCUCUCGCCUUUUCGAAUCUCAACCCACACGACUUCCUUCCUUUGCAAGGUAUUUUCUCUCAUGUUCUACAGAUUUUGUUUUUAAUUUCAUGGGUUUUGUAGAUUUUAUUUUCAAUUUCAUGGGUUCUGUAAUUUCAUGGGUUUUGCGAUUUGUUUUGGGUAUGCUAUUUCUGAACACUUAGUUGAAGCUAAUUUUGGGGUUCUAAAGUAGGUAGGUGUAGAGAAAUUUUCAAUAUUUAAGUCCAUUUGUUGAAUUUGCAUGCUAAAUUUGAGUUGGGAACUUUGCUUACUUGUUACGCAGUUGGAUUUUUGAGCUACUUUUGCAGUUUCUUCGUCUUAAUUUGCGAACAAUUUGAUCAUGUUUGACUUAUCAUUUUAUUUUUGGGGUAAUAUGUCAAGCUGGUAAUAUUUUUACCCCAUCAAUUCGAAAAGUUUUUGAUAGAUCCUUUUGAUAUUGGUGGAGAAAUUUGUAGUUAUAUCAGUCAAUCCGAUCGUCGGUAAUUCUGGUGGAUGCUUGAUUUUAAUGCUGCUGGUGCUGGAUACUUAGUCCCUUGAUAAUAUUCUUCUCUGCAUGUAUCUAAAUUUGUCGGUAUACAUUUUCGUAUAUUUUUUAUUUGUAAAUUUGUGAGUGUACUAAAGAGAUCAAAUGUAUUAUUUACCUCUUCAAGUUUGAUAGUUCUCAUAUAUAUGUGUAUAUAUUCUGAUACUCUUCUGGCUUUCCUUGGUUAAAAUGAAGAUCAAUUAUUGAUGCUUUCCAAUUUUUUUAUGUGCUGGGUCACAUUAUGUUGAUUGCUGUUGAGUCAACAAAUAGAGCAACACUGUGGAACUUAGCUAAAGUCAGCUACAGAUUUUGUUAAAAUCAUAAUGAAACAUACAGAGCACGGCAAUGAAAUAUACGGAGCAACAUGAUUCGGAUUCAGGACUACCUUUAUUCAUUGUCUUAGAAUGCUUAUGUUAUAAUUGUGUUGGAGAUGUUAAAAUUUUAGAUUACAAUUUUGUUUUCAUUUUUUCAAAAAAAAAACACCGAACUGGGCCGAAACCGAACUGAGAAAAACCGAAUCGAAUACAAACCGAACCGAACACAAACCGAUAGAAAAUCAAACCGAACCGAACAGUAAUUUUGGUUCGGUUUCCGGUUUUGGCAAAAAACCGAACCGAACGGAACCGAACCCACCUCUAAUGCUACUUACAAAAGGGGGCCAGAAGUUUCUUUUCUACAGUUUGGCAAUGGAUUUUAGUUUGUCAAUGAAUUUGUAGGCAAUUAUGUGUAGUGUAUAAUACGAUUGGCUUGAUAAAUUUUGAACAAUAUUAAUAUUGUCCACUAUCUAAAAUGAUUGAAUGUAAAUUUUUUUGGACCUUUUAGCC